GCAUAGAAGGUCUACAUUGAUAAAAUUCUGAAUAAGUGUACAAAACUUAGUUCAAAAGGAAUGUAAUCAAAGGCUAAAUAUUUGAUAUAUUGAGGUAUAUUUUGAGUUAUAUUAUUUUAUGUUAGUAUUUAAUUUAAAAAUCUAAUCUUGAUAUAAUGGUGGAAUAUAUUAACAAUUUCAAUUUGAUUGAAAGCUAUUAUGGAUUAUCUAAAAAAAAGAG
rnacentral:lncRNA from 1 species